AUUGAACGCUGGCGGCAGGCCUAACACAUGCAAGUCGAACGAGUGGCGGACGGGUGAGUAAUGUCUGGGAAACUGCCCGAUGGAGGGGGAUAACUACUGGAAACGGUAGCUAAUACCGCAUACCAUCGGAUGUGCCCAGAUGGGAUUAGCUUGUAGGUAAGGUAACGGCUACCCUAUGCGACGAUCCCUAGCUGGUCUGAGAGGAUGAACAGCGAAACUGGAACUUAGACACGGGCCAGACUCCUACGGGAUGCAACAGUGGGGAAUAUGGCACAAGGGGCUCAAGCCUGAUGCAGACAUGCCGCGGGUAUGAAGAAGGCCUUCGGGUUGUAAAGUACUUUCAGCGGGGAGGCGUUACCCGCAGAAGAAUCACCUGCUAACUCCGUGCCAGCAGCCGCGGUAAUAC
rnacentral:rRNA from 1 species